UACGGAGGUGGCAAGCGUUGUUCGGAAUCACUGGGCGUAAAGCGCGCGUAGGCGGACCUGCAAGUCGGGGGUGAAAGCCCGAGGCUCAACCUCGGAACUGCCUUCGAUACUGCGGGUCUCGAGUCCGGGAGAGGUGAGUGGAAUUCCUAGUGUAGAGGUGAAAUUCGUAGAUAUUAGGAAGAACACCAGUGGCGAAGGCGGCUCACUGGCCCGGUACUGACGCUGAGGCGCGAAAGCGUGGGGAGCAAACAGG
rnacentral:rRNA from 1 species